rnacentral:rRNA from 1 species
AGCAGCCGCGGUAAUUCCAGCUCCAAUAGCGUAUAUUAAAGUUGUUGCAGUUAAAAAGCUCGUAGUUGAAUUUCGGGAUCAAUACGUCGGUCGUGCUUCGGUACGUACUGGCGUAAUUGAUUUCUCCCUUCUGACGAACCAUGAUGUCAUUAACUUGGUGUCAUGGGAAAUCAGGACUGUUACUUUGAAAAAAUUAGAGUGUUUAAAGCAGGCUCACGCUUGAAUACAUUAGCAUGGAAUAAUGAAAUAGGACGUUCGAUCCUAUUUUGUUGGUUUUUAGGAUCAACGUAAUGAUUAAUAGGGAUAGUUGGGGGCAUUAGUAUUCAAUUGUCAGGGGUGAAAUUCUUGGAUUUAUUGAAGACUAACUACUGCGAAAGCAUUUGCCAAGGAUGUUUUCAUUAAUCAAGAACGAAAGUUAGGGGAUCGAAGACGAUCAGAUACCGUCGUAGUCUUAACCAUAAACUAUGCCGACUAGGGAUCGGGAUGAUGU